UGGGGAAUAUUGGACAAUGGGCGAAAGCCUGAUCCAGCCAUGCCGCGUGUGUGAAGAAGGUCUUCGGAUUGUAAAGCACUUUAAGUUGGGAGGAAGGGCAGUAAGCGAAUACCUUGCUGUUUUGACGUUACCGACAGAAUAAGCACCGGCUAACUCUGUGCCAGCAGCCGCGGUAAUACAGAGGGUGCAAGCGUUAAUCGGAAUUACUGGGCGUAAAGCGCGCGUAGGUGGUUCGUUAAGUUGAAUGUGAAAGCCCCGGGCUCAACCUGGGAACUGCAUCCAAAACUGGCGAGCUAGAGUAGGGCAGAGGGUGGUGGAAUUUCCUGUGUAGCGGUGAAAUGCGUAGAUAUAGGAAGGAACACCAGUGGCGAAGGCGACCACCUGGGCUCAUACUGACACUGAGGUGCGAAAGCGUGGGGAGCAAACAGU
rnacentral:rRNA from 1 species